GGCCGGGUAGAGUGGCCGCGUCGUCAUCACACCCGUACGGGGGGAAGCCGGUGCAAUUCCGGCGCUGACCCGCAACCGUGAGCCGUCCCGUCCGGGCGGCGAGCCGGAUCGCCCCGCGCGGAGCAGUUGACCGGC
rnacentral:ncRNA from 2 species